rnacentral:rRNA from 1 species
GAUGAACGCUAGCGAUAGGCUUAACACAUGCAAGUCGAGGGGCAGCACAAGGUAGCUUGCUAUCUGGGUGGCGACCGGCGCACGGGUGCGUAACGCGUAUGCAACUUGCCCUAUACAGGAGGAUAACCCGUCGAAAGACGGACUAAUACUGCGUAUGCUCACAACUUGGCAUCAAGUGGUGAGGAAAGAAAUUCGGUAUAGGAUAGGCAUGCGUCCCAUUAGCUUGUUGGUGAGGUAACGGCUCACCAAGGCAACGAUGGGUAGGGGAACUGAGAGGUUUAUCCCCCACACUGGUACUGAGACACGGACCAGACUCCUACGGGAGGCAGCAGUGAGGAAUAUUGGUCAAUGGGCGCGAACCUGAACCAGCCAAGUCGCGUGAAGGAUGACUGUCUUAUGGAUUGUAAACUUCUUUUAUACGGGAAUAACAAGAGUCACGUGUGACUCCCUGCAUGUACCGUAUGAAUAAGCAUCGGCUAACUCCGUG